rnacentral:misc_RNA from 1 species
UCUCCGUAGGUGAACCUGCGGAGGGAUCAUUACAGAGUUCAUGCCCUCCGGGUAGAUCUCCCACCCAUUGCUCUAACUACUCUCGUUGCUUUGGCGGGCCGCUGGGCCCUUCCCGGCCGCCCGCCCCGGCUGGCGCGUGUCGGCCACAUACCUCACCAACCCUGUCUGCAAGUGUCGUCCGAGUAACCACACAAAUGUUAAAACUUUCAACAAGGGAUCGCUCGCUUCUGGCAUCGAUGAACAACCCAGCAGAUCGGAAGACCACACGUGCGAACACAA